rnacentral:misc_RNA from 1 species
AACUUUUAGCAAUGGAUCACUUGGCUCUCGCAUCGAUGAAGAACGCAGCGAAAUGCGAUACGUAAUGUGAAUUGCAGAAGUCCGUGAAUCAUCGAAUCUUUGAACGCACCUUGCGCCUCUUGGUAUUCCGAGGGGCAUGCCUGUUUGAGUGUGAUUGAAUCCUCAAAAGAGAAUCUUAACGGAUUUUCUCUUUUGGAAUUGGGGUGUGCUGGCCUUUUUGUUUGGAAAGCCCAGCUCCCCUGAAAUACAUUAGCGAUGUGACAUCCGCAUGGCACCACGCCUCUCUGGCAUUGAUAGUCUUUUCAUGCUUGAGCGUGUUUGUGCAGCUGUGGAAAGUUUCGCUCGCUCACAACUUGAUGGGUGGAAGGGUUUCCCCCAUCCUCAUGACCAAUUUAACCUCAAAUCAGGUAGGAUUACCCGCUGAACUUAAGCAUAUCAAUAAGCGGAGGCU